rnacentral:rRNA from 1 species
GGGUGAGUAACGCGUAUCCAACCUGCCCACCACUUGGGGAUAACCUUGCGAAAGUAAGACUAAUACCCAAUGACGUCUCUAGAAGGCAUCUGAAAGAGAUUAAAGAUUUAUCGGUGAUGGAUGGGGAUGCGUCUGAUUAGCUUGUUGGCGGGGUAACGGCCCACCAAGGCAACGAUCAGUAGGGGUUCUGAGAGGAAGGUCCCCCACAUUGGAACUGAGACACGGUCCAAACUCCUACGGGAGGCAGCAGUGAGGAAUAUUGGUCAAUGGACGAGAGUCUGAACCAGCCAAGUAGCGUGCAGGAAGACGGCCCUAUGGGUUGUAAACUGCUUUUAUAAGGGAAUAAAGUGAGUCUCGUGAGACUUUUUGCAUGUACCUUAUGAAUAAGGACCGGCUAAUUCCGUGCCAGCAGCCGCGGUAAUACGGAAGGUCCGGGCGUUAUCCGGAUUUAUUGGGUUUAAAGGGAGCGUAGGCCGGAGAUUAAGCGUGUUGUGAAAUGUAGACGCUCAACGUCUGCACUGCAGCGCGAACUGGUUUCCUUGAGUACGCACAAAGUGGGCGGAAUUCGUGGUGUAGCGGUGAAAUGCUUAGAUAUCACGAAGAACUCCGAUUGCGAAGGCAGCUCACUGGAGCGCAACUGACGCUGAAGCUCGAAAGUGCGGGUAUCGAACAGGAUUAGAUACCCUGGUAGUCCGCACGGUAAACGAUGGAUGCCCGCUGUUGGUCUGAAUAGGUCAGCGGCCAAG